rnacentral:rRNA from 1 species
AGCGAACGCUGGCGGCAGGCUUAACACAUGCAAGUCGAGCGGGCAUCUUCGGAUGUCAGCGGCAGACGGGUGAGUAACACGUGGGAACGUACCCUUCGGUUCGGAACAACUCUGGGAAACUGGAGCUAAUACCGGAUACGCCCUUAUGGGGAAAGGUUUACUGCCGAAGGAUCGGCCCGCGUCUGAUUAGCUAGUUGGUGGGGUAACGGCCUACCAAGGCGACGAUCAGUAGCUGGUCUGAGAGGAUGAUCAGCCACACUGGGACUGAGACACGGCCCAGACUCCUACGGGAGGCAGCAGUGGGGAAUAUGGGACAAUGGGCGCAAGCCUGAUCCAGCCAUGCCGCGUGAGUGAUGAAGGCCUUAGGGUUGUAAAGCUCUUUUGUCCGGGACGAUAAUGACGGUACCGGAAGAAUAAGCCCCGGCUAACUUCGU